AUUUUUCUUAAACUAUAAGUAAUGUGUCAAACUAUAUAUAUGUUGUAUAGAAGCAUUGUCAGCUGUACCUGUCUGCCUGGCAUGGUUCAUCUGACCUGGACCUCUUUUUCAAGGUUCAUUGGUCUUUGUUUAGCUAUCUUGGUUAAUGUUAAGUUUAUGUGACAGUUGUAAUAAAGCUUAGCUUUAUACUUAGGACUAUCAACAUAAUAUCAAUGAUUAGUAUAGAAGGCGAGACAUUUCAGUGUGUGCACUCUUGUU
rnacentral:lncRNA from 1 species